rnacentral:tRNA from 1 species
GCCUGGUUGGCUCAAUCAGUAGAGCUUGUGACUCUUGAUCUCAGGGUCGGGAGUUCAAGCCCUACAUUGGGCA